UGGGGAAUCUUAGACAAUGGGCGCAAGCCUGAUCUAGCCAUGCCGCGUGAGCGAUGAAGGCCUUAGGGUUGUAAAGCUCUUUCGUGGGGGAAGCUGUACCCCAAGAAGAAGCCCCGGCUAACUCCGUGCCAGCAGCCGCGGUAAUACGGAGGGGGCUAGCGUUGUUCGGAAUUACUGGGCGUAAAGCGCACGUAGGCGGACUGGAAAGUCAGGGGUGAAAUCCCGGGGCUCAACCCCGGAACUGCCUUUGAAACUCCCGGUCUUGAGGUCGUGAGAGGUGAGUGGAAUUCCGAGUGUAGAGGUGAAAUUCGUAGAUAUUCGGAGGAACACCAGUGGCGAAGGCGGCUCACUGGCACGAUACUGACGCUGAGGUGCGAAAGCGUGGGGAGCAAACAGGAUUAGAUACCCUUGUAGU
rnacentral:rRNA from 1 species